AGAGGUAGAGUACACCUGUAUUUCUUAACUAGCACUUUCUAACCAAUGCCAUCCUUUCCCAAGGUGGUUAGGAAGAGCAGAAGGAACCAUUGACCAUGCAGCAGAUGAAUCUUCAGAGAGGUUACCAGAGCAAGGUGCUGGCAUCUGCUGUGUUUGCUCCCACUGAUGUCCUUCCCAUCCUCCUGCACUGGAACUUGCUGCACCAGCCAUGGGAUCUUUCAGGGUUUACAAUGGCCCUCAGAGUAUGAAGAAGUGCCAAAGUCUGAUAUUCCUGUGGAGCCAGGGUCCACAGGUGCCAGCAGCAGCCACAAUGCCCAUUGCAGUGAGCACUGCUGGAAGGCUAAUCCCCAGGGAAAGGCAGCACUUAGGAAUUGCUCUGUGCUUUUAAUUUCAGCAAAAACAAAGUUUUAAGGUAUUGCCUCAAAAAGAGUGAAAAUUGAGGGAAAAGACUCCUGAUCAGUAUUAUAUUUGUCUUGGAAGUUGGAAACAAUUUUAUGACAUGUCAUGUAUUUUUACAGUUUUCCCCCCAUUUCUCCACAUGUCACUCAUAGUAUAGACAUCUUUAAACUCCAUGGCAUAAUGUAACAUUAAAAGAAUGUUACAACAGUUAACCUCAUUUAGGCCAGUUGUUCCUACUGAAUUGGGACAUUUUAUCUCAUUUUCUAGAUUAAACCAGGUCCUUGGUCUGUCAUCAAAUGAUCAAAAAAUAAAAGCAGGAGACGCUUUGUUCUAGCAGAGCCAGUGGGAAAAAAGCUCUGUGGGCUGGGUUGGGUAAACAGAGAUGCCAGGAGACACUGCAGAAGCUGCUGGCAGUGGGAUGAAUCUGUGUACCAGCAAGAACAGUAUCUACUCCAUCUAGCUUGGGCUCCACUUCAUCCAGGAAGACUUCCUUUUGAACGGGGAGAUUCCAGUCAUGAUGGCUCCAACCAAGUAAAAGAGGUAGCCUCCCAGAUUUACUUAUCUCAGCCCUCUUGAAAGCACCCCUAACUUCCUUGGAAGCAGUAACCAAACAAGAGCUGUAAAAUACUGUUUUCCCUGGUCUGGCUGAACUCACGACUCAGCAUAUGUGGCAGGGAGCUCCUAAAAUAGCUCUCUAUUGCCUCACCAGCCUCAGCAGCAACUUGAAAGUCUUUUGCCUUCUGGGACAAACUGGAGAAGUUUUAAAAUGUUUGGACUUAUUUUGAAAGUACUGUGAAAGAUAAGAAUGAUCUAUUCCAAGGCUGGUUGAACUGAAGGUCACAGCUAAGGCAUUGCACAACAGACCCAAGUAGGUUCAGCACAAAACUUGCUCAGGAUUUGAUCAGCUCAUCUUCAUUGCUGCUGCCGCCCCUGCCUAAACUCAGGUUAAAGCUGAGUCCCUUUGACCUGGCACCUCACUGGGCCUAACAAUCACAAUAGCUUGUCCCAAAAAUCAGUGGGGCAAUGCCAAGGCAGAGGGCACAGGUUCUUCCCUGGCAGAGCCUUAUUGGAGAAGCCUUCUGAAAAAAGCAAGCGGAACAGCUCUUGUUUGUGAGAGGAAGAUGUAGUUGCUGCAGGACAAGUACAUUCUCACUCUGGGAGCUUUAAUGCACACCUUCUCCGGGUCAAAGGCUAUUUAUUCUCUGUCUGGAUCUUGUCCUGUUUCAGGCUAUCCCUAGUUAGAACAAAACCUGAACAGCUCUUGCUAUGUUUAACAAGGGAUAUCCCCAAGCUGCUCUUUAUUGCUGCAGUACUUUGGCAUAGCAUUCCUGUGGGCUCUGCAAGGACAUCGCAGUCUGUCCCCCUGGAGUAAUGAGAACCCCCUCCCACCCUGUGAGGAAAGGCUCCUUUUUCUUGAAAAUGUAAUUUCUUCUUGAAAGAUGACUCCAAAAGACCAUACACAUCUCUGGCUUCCCAACAGGGUGGGAGAAGAGUUUUUUUGUCAACAUGUCCCUUGUUUCCAAGCACACUCUCCAGUGCCUCAGCCAGAGCCCUCGGUAUAGCCUUCUGCUGAGUCAGGCUGCUGGUUUUAUUAUCCCAAAUCCCAAACGGGUGGUUUCAAAUACUCCAGGCAUUUUUCAGAGACAGUGUGAAACCCAGCCAAGCCCAUGGUGUGGGGUGUAACCCUUCUCCUGACAGGUCUGCAGUUGGACUGGUCAGGCGAGCUGGUCUACAGCUGCAGAGUACAGCUGCCACCCCUGGGGACAAUCCCCUCUGUCCUCAGAUUCAAGUGAACUUUGUGAUUUUUUAGCAGCAGUAAAUGAUCCCCCUGGGGGUUAUUUGACCACCAAAACUACACUGCCUUGGCUGAAGCAUGGAAGGGCCGAAGCCCACGUCAGUAUGUACUGACAUAUAUUAGUGGAUGCAGGCUGGGGACCCCUCCCCAGCCCCAAGUCCCCCACCAGUCAUUUUCACUUGCUGCUUGAAAAUCACCCCUUGUCCAGGUCCUAUGUUUACAUGUCUGUCUAUGACACAAUAAAACAGAGCAAAGGCAAAUGUGCAACGUAGAGAUCCAUUAUGCUUUAUUUACAUGCGUCACCAUCUCUUUUACAAACUAGAUUACAAUUUAAAAUGGAAUACACAAGGCAAUAUCUACUAACACCAAGUGGAGUAAGCACUGCGUCUCUACUUCAUUUGGAAAGGGGCAGGUUUUGCUCCAAAACAAACUUCCUUCCAACCUCUGAGUAGUAAGGUAAUAUAUUCCUCCAGGGCAGCAUCUUUUUUAGUUGUUUUUUUUUUCUUGUUUUUUUUUUUUUUUUUUAAUAUAAAAUCCUCAGUAAGACUGCAACGUGAGAGUGUCUGCUUUCAAAUGAAAGUACAAGAUAGCCCAAAUGAAAAGUAAAAACUGUUCAGCUCUUCGGUAUGUAAAGACGGCCAUGCGCGAUAAGGCUGUGGAUUUAAUAUUCUUCCAAUUUACAUGGCUUGAAACAGAAACAGAUAAAACAGUUUUACAGAUACUGUAUACAUAUUUUUUCCAAUCAUGCAACUUUUUUUAAAAAAAGUUAAACAUGUGAAGCCAAAUGUACAAUCCAUUUUUUCCAACCCAUAGUUACGAAAUGUAUCUGGUCCCCCUUCACAUCUGUUGGCAAUUCCAAAGGUAUAUCGUGUACUUGAAACACUUACAGGACACCAAUUGCCAAGCAAUGAUAUAAUUUUGGAGAAAUACAUGACCUAAAAGGUAACUCUUUUAAGCAGUGGCACAAAAAUUUCUGAAAUUAAGCAGUGUUUAACAAUCUGAUUAUUCUUAAGAGCUUUUUUUUUUUCACAAGAUCAUUAAAUCAAGCCCCAACCUGUGACUAGAAACUGCGUAAAUAACACCUUUUUAGACCUUUUGUUUAGACCAAGUGUUCAAAAGAUAACCAUGUAAUUGUGACCUUGACCUUCAUCUGUUUUACAUGAUUUCACAAGGAAAACUUCUAGGCAUAAACAUGUUCAAAGACUCAAAGGCCAAAUUUUCAAAAAGCAGGUUCCCCAAACUAGCUAUUCAAGGCUUAAUUUUGACACCUAAAUACCUGGCCCUUUGAAUUCAGGGAGAUUUAUUUAGCACCUCUGGAGUGAAGGGCCUUUGCUGGGCACCUCAGCAGGUGUAGAGGGUGAUGACCAUCCCCAGGCCUGGGGGGGACCUGUCACCUCCCCUUCCUUCAAGAAGCCAUGAGGGCAGAGCAGCUUGCCCCCUGUGACCACGCUGGAGUCCCCGGUGUUUGGUGCCUGACACCAGGCACUUCUGCUUGGAAAUUUUGGCCCCAAAACUGAGCAACACAAACCAAACCAAACUGAAGAGGCUGGCCAAGUCCAUCCCUCUUCAGUGGGUGCUGGGAUGUUCUUCAAAGCAGGGGCCCAAGCUGUCCCAGCUAUGUCAAUGGAAAUGCUCCCCUUGACAUUGCUGGGAGACAGGUUAAGCCUUUCAGCCACUAAUGCUUUUAUUAUCUCUUUUUAAAAAAACUUCUCUGACACUGAUGGGCUGUCUCUGAACCAAGUGUUUUUUCUCCAUUUUCUGAAUAGAGAAGGCCAUAGUUUCAUCUCUCAUUUUUUUCCAAUGGAAAGCAGUGCCCCUGAACCCAAGCAGUCUAAGUUGCUGGAACAGAGCAGAAUUUGCAGUCUUUUCAGUUAAAUUUUCAACAGGCCUUCCCUUGCGUUUGACAAGAACUGAAUCUGAACUAAGAAAAAAACUUAAGUUAUGGGGUUUGGUCACUUUGGCCAUACCAUGGAGUCAGGCUUUACUGAUCUGUCAGUGAUAGUGUGUCUUUGGGCAGCACCAGGGGUCUCACAGGAGGCUCAUCUGUUGUAGGGAUCAAAAGCUGCAUCUCAGCACGGGGAUGUGCCGAGUGAGCUCUGCCGACAGCCAAAAUGUGGGGCUGGGGAACAAGGCCAGCCACAGGGCAGCAGAUGCAGAGAAACCUCAGCAAAAGAACACCAGAAGGAAGUGCUUCAGCAUACACUCACAUUUUGGGGUGUACCAGGAAGCUAAGAGCUAAUGGCACACGCUCAGUUGAGGUCAGUGAUGAACUCUUGUCCAAUUUCAGUAAAAGGUGCCUGCAACUGGACUCGGGUAAGCAGGGUGCACAGCUAUGCCACACAAACAUCCUGGGAAGCCGGCUGCUGAUAGACAUCGGCAAUGGGCACCAGCCAGCUCCAAUGAAUGCAAUAAAC